rnacentral:rRNA from 1 species
CCUACGGGAGGCUGCAGUGGGGAAUAUUGGACAAUGGGGGGAACCCUGAUCCAGCCAUGCCGCGUGUGUGAAGAAGGCCCUCGGGUUGUAAAGCACUUUCAGUGAGGAAGAACGCCUGGUGGUUAAUACCCAUCAGGAAAGACAUCACUCACAGAAGAAGCACCGGCUAACUCCGUGCCAGCAGCCGCGGUAAUACGGAGGGUGCGAGCGUUAAUCGGAAUUACUGGGCGUAAAGCGCGCGUAGGUGGCUUGAUAAGCCGGUUGUGAAAGCCCCGGGCUAAACCUGGGAACGGCAUCCGGAACUGUCAAGCUAGAGUGCAGGAGAGGAAGGUAGAAUUCCCGGUGUAGCGGUGAAAUGCGUAGAGAUCGGGAGGAAUACCAGUGGCGAAGGCGGCCUUCUGGACUGACACUGACACUGAGGUGCGAAAGCGUGGGUAGCAAACAGGAUUAGAUACCCCUGUAGUC